CAAAAAGAAGGUCCUGAGAGGAUUUUAGGAACGUUACAGAACAGAUUGGGGAGGAAAGUUGGAAGUUCUGGGGAGUUGCUAGGGAGCCUGGUGUGCCGUGUGGGCAGCCCACCAUUCCCAUUACUAAUAGCGACUUAAAUUCUCUCCCUCGCUUCACUCCAAUCACAUUCGUAAGCACGGGGAAUCCAACCGAAACCCAUUCAGAUGCUGGAUACCGCCAACUUAAUGUUGAUGAAUAAACAAUUAAAUUUCAUCAACAACAGUAAUUGUCCUUUCUCCAGGACUCUCCCGAUUCUUAUGUACAACACAGCGUCUUUCAAAAACUAUUUUCCCCAUCCAUCCAUCUUUUUUCAAAAUGUUUUUAAAACUUCCUCGUUGUUGCGAAUGCUUUCCAAAAUUAGUUCACGUACCAAAUGCUCCCUUACACUCCUUACUUCCAUUACCUCCAACAUAAAAGAAAACAAUGUCAGCGGCUUUUUCUUAAUAGCAGUGCAGUUGAUUUGAUUUCAUGUAACAACUUAAGACAAUUUUGUACAUCUCCUUACCCAAAACAUCCCAUUUUCCCAUGCGCACCAACACAUUUUCCACCAACAACGUUGGAAGUAAACUCGGAAUCGGUGUUUAAACGUUAUGCCUCAAUAUCAAAGUUUUAUUCUUACUUCUAUACUUCGUAAGAUCCUUACUGUAUUAUCUGUUGUUCCUCUUCCUUAAGUUCGAAAAGAAUGUUUUUUUUUUCAGUUCUUGUACUUUAAGAGCUUAGAGAACGUUUUUACUUUUUUACUCAAACAAAAUUUACCAAGUUCUAGUUAUUUUGAAGUGACUUCAUGUUGAAUAAAAAUUUACUUAAACUAAAGUUUA